GAAUUGUCUUCUUUCCCCCUCCUCUUCUGCUAGUACUUUCAGGUCCUUUACAUGCUUUGUGUCCAUUUGUUGAACAUAAGCAAAUUUUGCGUAUAAAGAAAAACCUUUCUCAGGUUGAUUGAUAGAUUAAGGUGAAGUAGUUGAAUAAAUUUAACAUCUUCUACUGCAGUCACACGGGACGCGGGUGGCAUGGGGGUAAAACCACAGUGCCUAGGACUUGCUGAUCGCAUGGUCAGCGGUUCAAAUCCCCGCGGCGGGGUGAGCUCCCGUCUUUCGGUCCCAGCUUCUGCCCACCUAGCAGUUCGAAAGCACCCCUAAGUGCAAGUAGAUAAAUAGGUACCGCUUUAUAGCGGGAAGUUAAACGGCGUUUCCGUGUGCUGCGGUGGUGCUGGCUCGCCAGCUGCAGCUUCGUCACGCUGGCCACGUGACCUGGAAGUGUCUUCGGACGGCGCCGGCUCACGGCCUCUAGAGCGAGAUGAGCAUGCAACCCUAGAGUCGGACACGACUGGCCCGUACGGGCAGGGGUACCUUUACCUUUACCUUACUGCAGUCACACAGUUAUUGAUAUAUUGAUUGAAAAUGUCUAGCCAACCAGAUUGGUGGUUUGGUUCCUGUUGAGGGUAUUUGGCAAGCCAGCAUGACAGUGACGUGGGACUGAGGACUAGAGGGAUCAUUCUGUAAUAUUAUGGCAGUGGACUAAGCUGUAUUGUAACUUUUGAAUUAAGUAUAAUAAAUAAUAAAAACAAAAAAAAUAUUAAAAAGUUAUUAUGAUUUUACCAGGUUUUGGUUGGGGGGCCGCAUUUUGGUUGGAAUUGCCCUUGCCACUCAGGAUGUGUCUUUAUGUGUGUCUUUUUCUAACUCAGAAACAACAGAGUUAAUUAUAAUUGCGGAUUUUGCAAUAAAAAUAAGAAAGAAACAACAGAGUCGAAUGGAUGGCAGGCAAGGAAGGACAGAUAACAGGCAAGACAAUUUGUGACAAGGUGGGAACUGAGUUCCCUUGCCUUUGGGGGUGGGGGCGAGGAGGAAUGGAUUUGAGAUCAGCAGCCACUGCCCAUUAUGGCCUGGAGAGCACUAAGACACACGUGCAAAAUGGCAGUUCAGGGACUAAUGGGAAUGCUAGCACGUAGGAAUAUGGAAAUGGCAGUGGCCAGGGAGAGAUUUAGGUAGCUGCACCACAGCAUUGAUUAGGCAAUAUUUUAACAUUAAGGCUAAAAUUAAGUGCAAGCUCUGGAAACUAGCCAGAUAGGAGUUGACCAAGCCUGUUUGUUACUGCUGCAAAACUUGUCUGCUAUACAGUGGUACCUCGGGUUAAGUACUUAAUUCGUUCCAGAGGUCCGUUCUUAACCUGAAACUGUUCUUAACCUGAAGCACUACUUUAGCUAAUGGGGCCUCCUGCUGCUGCGCUGCCAGAGCACGAUUUCUGUUCUCAUCCUGAAGCAAAGUUCUUAACCUGAGGUACUAUUUCUGGGUUCGCAGAGUCUGUAACCUGAAGCGUAUGCAACCUGAAGCAUAUGUAACCCGUACUAUUCAGUGAAAGCGUCUUUCAAAGUAGUGCAUAUCCUACCUGUCAACAACUGAGAACUAUUUACUUUGAACAAUGCUUUUGCCAUUUGAUUCCUUUCUCCUUCCCAGAUAUAGGACACUUCUGUGCAGCAACAUGAGAAUAGGCCUUUUCUGCAGUGGCUCCCUGCUUGUGGAAUGCUCUCCCUAGGGAGCCUUGCCUGGCACAUUCAUUACAUAUCUAUCAGAGUGGCUUAGGAAACCCAGUCAAAUGGGUGGGGUACAAAUAAUAAAAUUAUUAUUAUUAUUAUUAUUAUUAGUCAUCCGGCAAAAGCAUUUCUCUUCUCCCAGGCCUUAUUAUGUUAUGUAUUGUUGUGUUUUUUAUCGUAAACUGCUCUAUGAUCUUUGGAUGAAGGGCAGUAUAGAAAUGAUGGUGAUGAUGAUGAUGAUAGAAUCCAUUAAGUUAUGUUAACCUCAGUGAACAUCAUACAAAUCAAGACAAAGAACAUUAAGAUAAAUCUAGUUCUAUUUGAACUGAAUGCCUGUUAGUCUAACACUUAGCUACCUUUCUGGCAGUCCCAAGUAGAAGCUCCCUGGGGUGAGAUGUAACUUUAUUCUUCCUGUGAAUAGACUAAGCAUGCCUUAGGUAGUUUUGUGCUUCUCUAAACUCGUGUCACCAGUGAACUACUCCUUUCCUUUCCUCAAACCAGAUGGGCCGGGAGCAGAAGAAACAGAGGAAUUUUACCUCCUGCCAACACACCCGUUCCUUCUGCAUCCUUCCUCCUUUCCUUCACAGCUGGACCAUGAAGCUUCAGUAUCUAAUUUGCCUGGCAGUUUUGACCAGAAGAACCUGAAGGAGGGGCAAAUGAAACAGAUUAUAAAUGUUUCCACCUUCCUUUCUGCCAUAUUUAGGAGGGGUGGGUGGAUCUGUCAAUUUUGUUUGCUCUCAGUUUCUAAUUUUUCCUAUCUUUACUUCAGUUUGCUCCCUUUCUGCAACAGUUUGCAAUUUAUUUAUUUUUUAAAAAUCCUCUCAAAAUUUUGCCAGCAAUGUAAGGUGCAUUUCUCCUGACAUGCACAUUUUCAUAUGUGUCUUACGUUACAAAUUAUUGCAUUUAAAAUGUUAUUUUCACCAGUCACACACCUUUUUUAAGUGUACACUUUCCCCAGUGGAUACAUUUUAUGGUAGGAGAACUGCAUUGCAAAAGUCAGAGAACUGCAGAUAACCAUAUUUUCGUUUGCAUAUCACUAUGAAUUAAACAGCCUGCAUUAAAACACAAACCAAAGUGAGUUUCUCCCCCUUCUCUAACCCCAACCCUCCAGAAGAAGAGCAGAUAUUCAGGAGCUUUUCCCAUUUCCAUUUUGGGGGUGACGGGGAAAAAUCUUUUUCUGUAAGUUGUACACUACUCACAUGAUCUCAGGAUCCAACCCCUUGUUUUUAAUCAUGAAGCAUUCAGGCAAGUUUCCAAACAGUAAGUACUUUGAAAUAUCUAUGAAUACUGAAAUAUUUUAUCUUUCUCAAUCAAAGAGCAAUAAAGGAGGCUGCUUCUUUCUGCCGUCUCUCUGUAAACCUACUCCUUGUAGAAAAUUCAGCUCUCCUCAUCACGAGUGCUGUAUAUACUCAGUAAAAGGUUAUAGCUUUUUCUUCCCCUUUUUCUUUUUUCUUCACUAAACACACAAUUCCCAAACUCAGGAGAUCGUUGGUUAAAUAUUUCUGUACCAUCUUGAGGCUCAUUUAAGAAGCCUGAAAAGGAAAGAAGGAGCUGGUAACUGACCUUUUGUGUUAAGUAAUCCAUUGAUUGUGUGCAAAGGAGAAGCUGGAGAGGAUCUUUCUAAGAAUUUAAUGUAAGAAUGUUUAAGCUGCUUUUGCCAUUGCAUUGUGGUCUCUGCAGUUUCUCACUUAAGGGGAAAUAAGAGCUCCCACCAAGUAGUGCUUGGUCUCAGGCAUUUUCCUUCCUCUGAUGCAUUUAAAAGUGGGGUGUAUUAAAUUACACUAUUGCAAAAUAUUUAAAAACCAAAAUAUGGGGUUUUGUAUAAUACGCGGCUUGCAUUCUGCUGGACUUGUUUCGAUUUAAUACUUUUUGCAUAUCUCCAUCUGGCCAUGCUGGUCAUGAGUAGCUCACACUUAACGUCACACAAAAUCCUAAUUGAUGUAGGAUUGGCCUAUAUUUUGGGUUUAGCCCUUUUGCCCAAAACUAAAAACAUUUUGCAGUUUUCAAAUAACUUAAAUGACAGGUUUCUGAGGACUGGUUCAGAAACUUCAUCCUGAGAUUGAUGCUGUUCUGGAUAGUUGAGCUCUGUAU